rnacentral:pre_miRNA from 1 species
AUAGUACUCCCUUCGUUCCAAAUUACUCGUCGCUGAAAUGGAUGUAUCUAGAACUAAAAUACAUCUAGAUACAUCCAUAUGUGCGACAAGUAAUUCGGAACGGAGGGAGUAACUC